rnacentral:rRNA from 1 species
GAUAAACGUUUGCGGCGUGCCUGAUGCAUGCAAGUCGAACGAUUUGAUUAUUCGCAAGAGUUAUCAGAUAGUGGCGAACGGCUGAGUAACGCGUAAGUGACCUACCUUCAAGUGGGGAAUAACCUGUCGAAAGAUAGGAUAAUACCGCAUGUGCUGGUAAAACGUUUGGUUUACCAGUAAAGCCGUAAGGCGCUUGAAGAGGGGCUUGCGUCUGAUUAGCUAGUUGGUAGGGUAAUGGCCUACCAAGGCGAUGAUCAGUAGCUGGUCUGAGAGGACGACCAGCCAGACGGGGACUGAGAUACGGCCCUGACUCCUACGGGAGG